AGAGGGUGCGAGCGUUGUCCGGAAUCACUGGGCGUAAAGGGCGMGUAGGCGGCCUGAUAAGUCGGGGGUGAAAUCCUGUGGYUUAACCACAGGGCUGCCUCCGAGACUGUCGGGCUCGAGCACAGUAGAGGCAGGUGGAAUUCCCGGUGUAGCGGUGGAAUGCGUAGAGAUCGGGAAGAACAUCGGUGGCGAAGGCGGCCUGCUGGGCUGUUGCUGACGCUGAGGCGCGACAGCGUGGGGAGCAAACAGGAUUAGAUACCCUGGUAGUCCACGCCGUAAACGAUGGGCACUAGGCGUCGGGGGGAGCGACCCUCCCGGUGCCGUCGCUAACGCAGUAAGUGCCCCGCCUGGGGAGUACGGCCGC
rnacentral:rRNA from 1 species